AAUCAACGCUGGCGGCGUGCCUAACACAUGCAAGUCGAACGCGAAAGUCCCGCAAGGGGCAAGUAGAGUGGCAAACGGGUGAGUAACACGUGGGUGACCUGCCUUCGAGUGGGGGAUAACGUCCCGAAAGGGACGCUAAUACCGCAUGACAUCCUGCUUUUGGAAAAGCGGAGAUCAAAGCCGGGGAUCGCAAGACCUGGCGCUCGAAGAGGGGCCCGCGCCUGAUUAGCUAGUUGGNGAGGUAACGGCUCACCAAGGCUACGAUCAGUAUCCGGCCUGAGAGGGCGGACGGACACACUGGGACUGAGACACGGCCCAGACUCCUACGGGAGGCAGCAGUGGGGAAUUGUUCGCAAUGGGCGCAAGCCUGACGACGCAACGCCGCGUGGAGGAUGAAGA
rnacentral:rRNA from 1 species